rnacentral:rRNA from 1 species
UACGGAGGAUCCGAGCGUUAUCCGGAUUUAUUGGGUUUAAAGGGUGCGCAGGCGGGAGAUUAAGUCGGCGGUGAAAUUUUGCAGCUCAACUGUAAAAGUGCCUUCGAAACUGGUUUCCUUGAGUGUGGAUGAAGUAGGCGGAAUUUGUGGUGUAGCGGUGAAAUGCAUAGAUAUCACGAGGAAUCCGAUUGCGCAGGCAGCUUACUAAACCAUAACUGACGCUCAGGCACGAAGGCGUGGGGAUCAAACAGGAUUAGAUACCCGUGUAGU